rnacentral:lncRNA from 1 species
GAAUAGAGUGGAGUGAGUGAGGUCCUCCCUUCGUUCGUCCCCCUUUGCCUCUCUCUCUCUCUCUCUCUCGCUCCCCCACUCUUCUUUAAGUUUCUAAGUAGCAUUUAAAUGAGAUUUAGGAAUAAACAUGUGGACAAUGUGAAGAAGAAUUGAGAAAUUGGAAGUAGAAGAAGAAGACGAAGAUGAUGGUAAUGCUCCGUCUGGAAACUGGUACUAUUUGAAUUUUGCAGCCAUUUCUUUUUGUUUUUGCUGUAUUGUACAGGCCAAGCUUGCACACAGAUGUCGUUUUCAGCGACUAUCUGUUUUGGCACUUGGAAUCCUAUUCAUGAAGUAAGUUUAAUUUAAUAUAUAUAGAGAGAGACACGUGUAUGUAGAUAUAAAUAUAGCAAGAGUAUCAAGAGUUUUUUUGGUUAAUGGAACCAGUAAGGAAUUAUUUCAUUUUAAAUUCAACAUUCCCUUUAGUUUCACAUUUAUUAUUAUUGUUAUUAUUAUUAGACCUACGAAUCAUGUUUUUAAUAAACUUUUCUUUCCACUUUUCAAAACGUGGUUUUCCUAGUGUGCGUUCAGGCAUCCAUGGAAUAUUAUCUUAAUCUACAGAUCUCCCUUAUUCAUCCAUGGUUUUAUUUUGUUUUAUUUUAUUUUUUUCAUUCAGGCUCUGACUGCACGACAGUGUUGUACCCACCCCAGAGAUUUGGGAAAAAAAGGACUACUCUCUCCAGGGAUUUGAUACCUUCUAUCACUAUUACCCCUUCCUAACUUGACAUAUGCACUGUGUUUUUGCUACCUACC